rnacentral:piRNA from 1 species
GUUUUGGUAUGGAGUCAGAGGAAGA